rnacentral:sRNA from 1 species
GUGUACCACCCGUAUACCCCGGUUCAUCCGCGCGCACUCCUCCGCGCGGUCUGCACCCACCUGACGGCUGCUCGCCACCUGUGUGAGCC